AACACCCAGAAACAUCUGGAAGUAUCAAGUACAUGUGAGGAAAUUUUGGAAAAAAAAUCAUCUUGUUGUACUAGUGAUGAAGUUAUUGAAAUUUUCUUGAAACCAGAUGAAACACAGAGAAUAUGCAAUUUAUUGGAUCCUCCACACAGUGGUUGGAGAAAGUUAGCGGAGGUGAUGUUAGGAUUUAAUGAUAAGCAAUGUGAUUCAAUCUUAAAUUUAAAUCCUGAAAGUCCUACCAAAGCAAUUUUAAAGAAAUUUCAGAGCUCUUAUGAAGGAAAUCAAGUCGAGGGACUGAAAGUAUAUUUAGAGGCUGCAGGAUUAAAUGAAGCUGCAGCUACAUUAGACGAACAUUGUUGAACUUUUUGUAAAUGUUUUCCGAAAGAAGAUUUAGAGCUGUGAUUCUCCACUGGCGGCCCGGCACCGGUGUGUUUAAAAAGUUGACUGGUCUUCAGAGAUUUUGCUCAUACAUAUUAAGAAGAAUAUAAUUGAGUAUUGCAUACAUUUGGAAAAGCUUUUUAUGCUAUCACAUGGCAGUUAUUGUUUUUAAAAAGGAUACUUUUUUAUCUGUUUUUAUCUGAAGACUUUUUAUUGUUGCAGCAAAUGUUACAUAUUUUUAUGAAAAUAAAAGUGAUAUAUUUU